rnacentral:rRNA from 1 species
CGCCAGACUCCUACGGGAGGCAGCAGUGGGGAAUAUUGCACAAUGGGGGGAACCCUGAUGCAGCGACGCCGCGUGGGUGAAGGAGUACUUCGGUACGUAAAGCCCUAUCAGCAGGAAAGAAAAUGACGGUACCUGAUUAAGAAGCCCCGGCUAACUACGUGCCAGCAGCCGCGGUAAUACGUAGGGGGCAAGCGUUAUCCGGAUUUACUGGGUGUAAAGGGGGCGCAGACGGCGAUGCAAGCCAGGAGUGAAAGCCCGGGGCCCAACCCCAGGACUGCUCUUGGAACUGCGUGGCUGGAGUGCAGGAGGGGCAGGCGGAAUUCCUGGUGUAGCGGUGAAAUGCGUAGAUAUUAGGAGGAACACCAGUGGCGAAGGCGGCGUACUGGACGAUGACUGACGCUGAGGCUCGAAAGCGUGGGGAGCAAACAGGAUUAGAUACCCUAGUAUCA